UGCAAAAUGAUGAGAAACUUGGAUCUGGAAUGGAUAACAAACACAUAUAAGGUCUUCAAAGUUCUCGGAUUGCC
rnacentral:snoRNA from 1 species